rnacentral:tRNA from 1 species
GUUUAAAUAGCUUAUUAGAGCGUAGUAUUGAAGCUACUAAGGAGAUUCUAAAUCUUUAAAUA